GGAAAGCACCAUAGCUCAGUGGUAGAGCAUCUGCUUUGUAUGUGGAAGGUGCCAGGUUCAAUCUCCAAUGGCAUCUCCA